rnacentral:sRNA from 1 species
GGAAGGAUCAUUAAUGAAAUGAAUGUCGAAAGGGGUUGUAGCUGGCCUUUCGGGGCAUGUGCACACCUUGAUCGCACAUCCACCUCUUCUCACACCUGUGCACUAUGUGUAGCUUGGGGAUGAUUACAAUAUUGGAAACAAUGUUGAAAGCCCUAGCUAUGAAUUUUUUAUACACCCACAUACAAAGUUAUAGAAUGCAUAAUAUUAUUGUGUGUAAUAGCACAAAUAAAUACAACUUUCAGCAACGGAUCUCUUGGCUCUCGCAUCGAUGAAGAACGCAGCGAAAUGCGAUAAGUAAUGUGAAUUGCAGAAUUCAGUGAAUCAUCGAAUCUUUGAACGCACCUUGCGCUCCUUGGUAUUCCGAGGAGCAUGCCUGUUUGAGUGUCAUAAAAUUAUCAACUGCCUUUUUAUGUUAAAGGGGUGAAGUUGGAGUUGGAGGAUAAUUGCUGGCGCAACUAAGGUUGCUUGUUGGCUCCUCUUGAAUGGAUGAGCUUUUCUGAUAGAUCAUAGCUCAGUAACACUAAUGUGAUAAUUAUCUACGUUAGAUGUGAAAGCUGUGAGUAGAGUAACUAACUCCUAUAGAAAAGAUAACAACUUUACACAAAUUUGACCUCAAAUCAGGUAGGA